rnacentral:ncRNA from 1 species
GUGACAGUAGACCGCGAUGGUGGGCAGUGUCUGAAGCGCUGCCCGAAUAGGGAAUACGGUGCAAUUCCGUGACUGCCCCCGCAACUGUAAGCGGUGAGUGCUUCGCGCAAAACCACUGGGCCGAAUGGUCUGGGAAGGUGCGAGCUUCACGAUGACCCGCGAGUCAGGAGACCUGCCAUCACAUAUGAACUGAA